CCCAAAGACUUCUCAAACCUCAGGAUCUCUGCUAAUAGUGCUGAUCACUGCUGCUGGAUCUCUGGUGAUUGUGCCUGUGAUUGUGUUGUUUUGUAUCUGCAGGAAACACAGAGACGCAGUUCAUGAAGACGAGACUCCAGCUGCUGCAUUACUCUACAAACACACUGAACUAAUGAUGGAAUCAGACGUGACGGAGGUGAUUUACACCGGUUUCACCACAGAACACUGAUCAAACUCUCCCUGAUUCUGUUUCCUCACAAAUCAUAUACUGAUCACUGCUGAUAUUACUGCAUCUGGCUUUUACACUCUUACUGUUUCAAAUUUUUUUUUUAAUUUGUCAGUUGUAUUUCUUCUAAGUGAUUUCUGAGUUUAU